rnacentral:tRNA from 1 species
GGAGAGGUGGCUGAGUGGUCGAAAGCACCGGUUUCGAAAACCGGCAUACCGCAAGGUAUCGAGAGUUCGAAUCUCUCCCUCUCCG